rnacentral:misc_RNA from 1 species
GAAAUGUGAUAAGUAAUGUGAAUUGCAGAAUUCAGUGAAUCAUCGAAUCUUUGAACGCACCUUGCACUCUUUGGUAUUCCGAAGAGUAUGUCUGUUUGAGUGUUAUGAAACCUUCAACCCAACUUUUUGUGUUCAACAUAAGCUGUUGGUGUUUGGAUCAUGGGCGCUUUUGUCGGUUUGGUUAUCAGAUCGGCUCGCCUGGAAUGCAUGAGCAGUGUUGUCUUUCGACAUCUGGCUUGACUUGGCGUGAUAGGUUAUUUCGCUGAGGACAAUGUCUUGUGCAUUGGCCGAUUCGUUAGAUGAGGGCUUCUAAUGGUUAUGGGCUCGACCCUUAUAACUUCAUACCUUUGACCUCAAAUCAGAUAGGACUACCCGCUGAACUUAA